rnacentral:lncRNA from 1 species
CUUUGGAGAAAAGCCUAAGAAGUCAUGUUUUUGGUCUGGCACCAGGAAUCCCAAAGUACAUGAUUAGGGUUCAUAAGAGGUUGAAAGAAGGGGUUGCCUUACUGAUUCUGCUGAGCUGUGUGGGCAGCAGUCUGGUAAGGGGCUCUAAUGACCCUUCACUGGCAACCAAAGCACCUUCAGAGCUACCAACUUCACUGCAUCCUUCAAAUACCUCAGCAAAGUAGAUCUCUCACAGGAGACAAAAUGGAGGUCUAGAGAGUGAAUAAAAUCCCUCAAGCUACAGAAUGGUGUUAGUGCCCCAUCUGUAUAUAACCUUGGAAACUCCUUCCAUGGCAUUAGGAUCUGAGAUUCCAGUCUCAGAAGGUGUUUGAGGGCCUUUUGCUCUUCAAAUUCUUGCAGGUUCCCAGUACCUGUCCACUUCUGGAAUAGAAGGGUUUGUGAGGGAAAAAGGACAUAGAGCUUCCCUUUGUCUUAGUGUGGGGUUCCUGUGACCUUUCUUAAUCCGGGAAAUUUCAAUAGAAGAAAAUAGAAUUUCAUCAUCAACUAGAAAAACCAGGGAAGACCUGACAGAGCCACUGAUCCCCUUGGCUGGUUGAAUAAGAAAAGCCUUGCUCUAAAUAGUUUCCUAGAAAUCUUCCCAAGUCUGGGCCCAAGUUGACCAUCUAUAAGCUAACACCAUUACCUUCCAUCAUAAAGUAAUUUAGAUAAACCAUAGACCUAGGGGGAUAGUGAAGGUCAUUGUGUUUAUUUCCCUACCUCAUGGCUCAACCCUUGCACAAGGACAGAUGUUUCUGCCUUCCAUUCCUCUGAUAAUAGUGUGACUCAUUUUUUCUCUCCCUUGGGGCCCUAGUGACCCACAGCUACGUGAUCAUUAAUGGAGCUGGGGAGACUGAAACUGGAUUCCUAGUGGAAAGGCAAGCUCCAACUUUUUGAGAGACCUUCGGCCAGUCAAAUAGCCACUCAGUCAGCCCUUUAGCCAGACAGUCAGCCAGCCCACACAAACUGAACUCUUCCUUUGUGUUAGGCAAUGUGCUAAGAGCUGUGAGGGUGAUAAACGAUGUAAAUUCUGCCUUGUGUACAUGUACAAACAUAUAACAAAAAUCUCACCAUUAUGUAUAAUUAUAGUGCACCAAUACAUAAUAUGGUUAAAAAAAAAAAAGUCUGCCUUAGAGGAUUUGACAGCUGAUCUAGGGGAGAAAAGUCAUGCACAUCUGACUACUAAAGGCAGAAUUAACAUACCAAUCUGAUUUUUGUUGGUGUGUGUGUGUGUGUGUGUGUGUGUGUAUUUUGUGGUGUUGGAGAUUGAACCCAGGGCCUCAAGCAUGCUAGGCAAGUGUUGUACCACUGAGUUACAUCCCCAGUCCUACAAGGCUGGAUAUAGAUGCUCUUAGGAGAGACAGGAACAAAGUGAUUCAAAAUAGAGGUGUCAGGGGCUAAGAAAAAUAUUUACAUAUGUUUCCUUAAAUUCCAAUCCAUAUGAAAUGAGUGCCUGGCAUUAAUUGAACUUUCGGGGGAAGGCUGAUUAGAAGAAACUGCUUCCUGCAGCUGAAGAACUAUGGGA